rnacentral:rRNA from 1 species
AUACGUAGGUGACAAGCGUUAUCCGGAUUUACUGGGCGUAAAGGGCGUGUAGGCGGUCUUGCAAGUCAGAAGUGAAAUUCCUGAGCUCAACUCGGGCGCUGCUUCUGAAACUGCAGGACUUGAGUGCUGGAGGGGAUAGCGGAAUUCCUAGUGGAGCGGUAAAAUGCGCAGAUAUUAGGAAGAACACCGGUGGCGAAGGCGGCUAUCGGGACAGUAACUGUCGCUGAGGCGCCACAGCGUGGGGAGAAAACAGGAUUAUAUACCCUGGGAGUCCACGCCGUAAACGAUGAAUACUAGGUGUAGGGGGUAUCGACUCCCUCUGUGCCGCAGUUAACACAAUAAGUAUUCCGCCUGGGGAGUACGGCCGCAAGGUUGAAACUCAAAUGAAUUGACUGGG